AUUGAACGCUGGCGGCAUGCCUUACACAUGCAAGUCGAACGGUAACAGGUCUUCGGAUGCUGACGAGUGGCGAACGGGUGAGUAAUACAUCGGAACGUGCCCGAUCGUGGGGGAUAACGGAGCGAAAGCUUUGCUAAUACCGCAUACGAUCUACGGAUGAAAGCGGGGGAUCUUCGGACCUCGCGCGGACGGAGCGGCCGAUGGCAGAUUAGGUAGUUGGUGGGAUAAAAGCUUACCAAGCCGACGAUCUGUAGCUGGUCUGAGAGGAUGAUCAGCCACACUGGGACUGAGACACGGCCCAG
rnacentral:rRNA from 1 species